UAAAAGGAGCGGACAGGUGUAGUUAUCUUUGUGAAAGUGUCACUGCUCUGGGGCCCCAAAGCGGGUACUGUGAGGUGCCCCUGCUUGGCUCUUUUGUGCAGAGGAGUAGCGGGCGCGGCUGUGGGUGAAGAUGCCUAAUUUCAGGCGAGAGCCACCCUGACCACAGACAGUUAAAGCGCUGCUCACUUCCUGCAGCCUGUUCUAUUCUUUAUUUAAUUCCACAUCUCAGUUC